GGGUGCAGGGGUAAUCUAGCAGUGAUACGUCACCCCACUGAUCGCCAGCGUUGAUUUGGCUGAUCUGGCUACUAGACAGGUGUCCCCUUCCCCCCCCCCUUCCAUGUGCAUCCCUCCUGUGCUGUACAUUCAAAAAGGAUGACCUUCCCAGAUACUGUUCUUCCAUCCAUGAUAUAGGAGAAGCUGCGCACCUCUUAGAACCUCCAAAAGAGCUUUUGAGUUCAAUUUGUAGAAGAAUGUAGGGUCAUCAAGAUUCCAGAACUCCAGACACAUCCAAUGAAGCACUGCAUGUGGCAGUCUGCCUUUU
rnacentral:snRNA from 1 species